rnacentral:lncRNA from 10 species
UCUGCUUGCAGGAAAGGAAGAAAAGCAGGCCCAAGAUUAUUCUGAGACAACUGGAGGCCUCUUGUGUUCAGCACCUGGAUUGUGCUCAGGAUGGCAAGAGAACAAAGCAAUCUGCUUGCUGUACUUGGGAUAGAGAAGACCUGCACGAGAAAGCCAGAUAUUCAAGAUGGUGUGAUUUCUAUCACAAGCUCUGAAGGACAGCGUGGCAGGACUUAACUGCAGACCAGUGUUUUCAUUAGAAGGAACGAGCUGCCUGUAGAUGUGUCCUUACAACUCCAUUGUGCUCUGAACAGCUUCUUGCUGACCGCUGCCUCAAUAUCAGUGAUUCCACCCUAGACCAUAAGCUCCAUGAGGGUAAGAAUCAAGUACUUGUUUUGUUUUGUUUUUGUUACC